rnacentral:rRNA from 1 species
ACUCUCCGAAAAAAUUACGCUGUUAUCCCUAAGGUAAGUUAAUCUUAUAAUCAAAAGUUCUGGAUCAAAAAAACAUAAAUUUAUGAAUAAAAUAUUAAAAGUUAAAUAAAUUUUAAUGUCACCCCAACAAAACUUUAUAUUCUAAAAAAUUAUUUAAUAAACAAAAAAUAAUAUUUAAUAAAUAAAGUAAACUUCUAUAGGGUCUUCUCGUCCUAUAAAAAAAUUUUAGCUUUUUAACUAAAAAAUUAAAUUCAAAAUAAUUAAAAAAAGAAAGCUUAUUUUUCAUCAAACCAUUCAUACUAGCCUUCAAUUAAAAGACAAAUGAUUAUGCUACCUUCGUACAGUUAAAAUACCGCAGCCUUUUAAUUCAUAAAAAUCAAUGGGCAGGUCUGAUCUUAAAUUAAAAUCAAAAGACC